UACGAAGGGUGCAAGCGUUAUCCGGAAUUACUGGGCGUAAAGCGUACGUAGGUGGAGAUUUAAGUGAGAUGCGAAAUCUGGCGGCUCAACCGUCUAGACUGUGUCUCAUACUGGGUUUCUUGAGGUUGGCAGAGGCAAGUGGAAUUUCCGGUGUAGCAGUGAAAUGCGUAGAGAUCGGAAGGAACACCAAUGGCGAAGGCAGCUUGCUGGGCCACACCUGACACUGAGGUACGAAAGCGUGGGGAGCAAACAGG
rnacentral:rRNA from 1 species